rnacentral:lncRNA from 1 species
UUUGCAACCAAAGGCAGAGCUGGUGCUAUGGAGGACCUGCUUACUGCUAUGAGGUGUUACUUUAUAGAGGUCCUGGAGAAGCUGAUUGAGGCCACGUCAGUGUUGCAAGGAGACAUGAGACUCACAUCAGAGUUCUAUGGCUUAACAUGGGAGAUGGUGGCUGGUGAAAACAUAUAUAAGAUAAGCCUGGAGGAGAAGGACCAGUAAUACCAGAAAUCAAGGAGGGGCCCUGAAGAGAAAAGGAUAGCAAAAGGAUGAAGACCUGUCCAAGACCCAGCAGCCAGCAUGAAAGAGCUCUCAAUGGGGAAAGCUGGAACAAUUUCAACAACAAAAUAAAUAACAUAUCACUGGAUUAUAAUCUGAAGUAUAAAAAGUAUGAGUCCAUACUGUUAAAUGAUUG